AUGAAGUUCAAUAACUUGCAUAUAUUCGUUGUUCAUUUAAGACUAAAUGUUUAGUUGUGGUAAAUAAACAUUUAGCCUCAAGACACAUUAAUUGGGAUCUACCAAUUUCUGCAAAGAAAGCAAGAGAUAAGACUAUUGCUUUUUCACAUCAUCACUGUAGUAUCAUUCCAUUUCUUUCACCUUAUUCACCUUAUUGUCCCUGUAAUUAGAUAGCCCAAAUGAGAAAAUUGUACUUAAAAGUUCUAAAUAGUUCUAAAGUUACUCAUCAACACUGAGUUAUGUGUUCCUCCAGAAAGGAGGUCAAGUUUAUGGCUUUUGAAUAAAAAUACUUGCAACAUUAGCCCUAGAAAUUGGAAGCACUGAUUGAAUGUCUGUUUCUCCAGAUUUAGAUGGAAAAAAGAAAAGAAAAGAAAAGAACAUGCAAGGUAAAUAGCAUGAACAAAGUAUUUAAAGAUGUGGAAUUUCAGACCAAAGCAAAUAAUAUUGAAUGCAAUAAUCACUCAAACAGCAAGAACUAAGCCACUGUUUAAUCUCUAAAUACGUUGCAACCCAAACCCCAAUGGACAUGGUAAUGACUAAGACUUAUAUUCCCAAAACCUGUAUAUACAUAUUAUCCACAUACCCUAGCAAGUAAUAACUGACACCAAAGAAAAUAGCAUUUUAUCCAAAAUUUGGCAUCAUAAAUUAAACCAUACUAAGUAAUAUUGUCAAAUAUUCUAGACUCUGAAAAUCAACCAAAAUACACCAGUUUUGAAACUAGAUUGGAAGCUUCAAGGAUAACAUCAAAUUUAUAAUUCAGCUAGCAUAACCAUUAAGAAAAGUAUUAACAAUUGUCCCAAGUGUCAUCUAGAGGCCAUACCCCAAGACCCACAUAACCUCCUAAACUCUAGCUAGAUGGUCCUACAUACUGUUUGAAAAAUACAAGUAUUUUCUGAGUCACAGUAUUAAGUAGAAGUAAUUAGCUUGGCAUUUGUAGUCUAAUCAUUUCAUAGAAUUGAUUUUUUCCCUUUACAAAACAUUAUAAUUGGAACAAUAAUAUAUAAGUGCAGUCUAAUGCUCGAAGGGUCUGCCUGGGAUGAAUGACUAAGACAUCUUGGAUUCGAUUUUGCACUAGGAGUACCCUGAAUUACCUGAUACUUGGUUCUGGCAGGAACUGGAGGUAUAUAGUGGUUAUUCAAACUUUUCCAUUGGUGUUGAAAAGUCUGAAUCCAAUUGCUGGUUUCCUUGUUUAUUUUCUACCAUUUUGGAAGUGUCUGGCAGCCAGUAUCCUUCGUGAUGCUAUUUAUGUCAGUUGAAACAGACCAAUUAAGUUAACACCAGUUAAGCAUCUUGUGUGGUACAAGUACCCGAGUAAGUUUUUCUAGCUCCUUUGUUAUUCAUACAACCAAUUUUCUAUUUAUAAAUUAACAAUAUCCCUUUGGUGCAUUACCAAAUCCAGAAAUUAAAUUAAUCCAUUGUUACUUACUGGCAAACCUCAGUAUAUGAUUUUAAACAAAUAGUGAACUGAAAAGUUGUUAAUUGAAGAAGAAAAGAUUGUACACGUUUUUUGUGAACGAUAUUUUUGCUGAUCAAUCAAAUAUAGUAAAGCUAGGAGUAGUAAUGGAACAGUAUAUUGUUGUUAGUUUUAUGUUUUACCUUCUUAGCCUUUUUUCUCCUUACUUGAUGGUCAAAGGCACUAAAGACCUCUGCCCACUAACCACAUAACCCUGCUCACAUAAUUUUUCUCUAGACCUGGGUAAUCUCUAAGUAGGCCUGGUUAUGAGCAAAUAGAUUGCCAUGCACUAUAGGCAUUUGUAGUCUAGGACUAGGGUAAACUCAAAAAGAAUGUCGGCAAUACUUCAAAACGGUUAGACAAAUUCUACUUACAAAAAAAAA